AUGGGUCGCAUGCAUGCUCCUGGGAAGGGCCCGUCCCGGUUGGCUUUGCCCUAUCGCCACAGCAUCCCCACUUGGCUGAAGUUGACAUCUGAUGACGUGAAGGAGCAGAUUUACUAAGUGGCCAAGAAGGGCCUGACUCCUUCACAAAUUGGUGUGAUCCUGAGAGACUGACAUAGUGUUGCACAAGUACGUUUUGUGACAGGCAAUAAAAUCUUAAGAAAUCUUAAGUCUAAGGGACUUGCUCCUGAUCUCCCUGAAGAUCUCUACCAUUUAAUUAAGAAAGCAGUUGCUGUUCAAAAGCAUCUUGAGAGGAACAGAAAGGAUAAGAAUGCUAAAUUCCAUCUGAUUCUGAUAGAGAGCUGGAUUCACCACUUGGCUCGAUAUUACAAGACCAAGCGAGUCCUCCCUCCCAAUUGGAAAUAUGAAUCAUCUACAGCCUCUGCCCUGGUAGCA
rnacentral:lncRNA from 1 species